GACGAAGGAUGCAAGCGUUAUCCGGAUUCAUUGGGUUUAAAGGGAGCGUAGGUGGUCUUAUAAGUCAGUGGUGAAAUCUCUCGGCUUAACUGAGAAAUUGCCAUUGAUACUGGGAGACUUGAGUGUAGUUGCCGUUGGCGGAAUAUGACAUGUAGUGGUGAAAUACAUAGAGAUGUCAUAGAACACCGAUUGCGAAGGCAGCUAACGAAACUAUAACUGACACUGAGGCUCGAAAGUGCGGGGAUCAAACAGG
rnacentral:rRNA from 1 species